rnacentral:rRNA from 1 species
CGAUUCUGGCUCAGAACGAACGCUGGCGGCAUGGAUUAGGCAUGCAAGUCGAACGAAGCAGCAAUGCUUAGUGGCGGAAGGGUGAGGAACGCGUGAGCAACCUGCCCUCAAGUUGGGAAUAACAGUUGGAAACGACUGCUAAUACCGAAUGUGGCUUUUUGGACCGCAUGGUUCAGGGGCUAAAGAUUUAUUGCUUGAGGAUGGGCUCGCGUCCCAUUAGCUAGUUGGUGAGGUAACGGCUCACCAAGGCGAUGAUGGGUAGCUGGUCUGAGAGGAUGGUCAGCCACACUGGGACUGAGACACUGCCCAGACUCCUACGGGAGGCUGCAGUCGAGAAUCUUGGGCAAUGCGCGAAAGCGUGACCCAGCAAUGCCGCGUGCGGGAUGAAGGUCUUCGGAUUAGUAAACCGCUGUCCGACCCGGGAACGAAAGUUGACUGUACCGGGGGAGGAAGCCACGGCUAACUACGUGCCAGCCGCCGC